UACAGGGGGUGCAAACGUUGCUCGGAAUUAUUGGGCGUAAAGGGCGCGUAGGUGGCCACUAUAAGGCCGCGGUGAAAGUUCGGGGCUCAACCCUGAAUCUGCCGCGGCGACUGUAGGGCUUGGGCACUGUAGAGGCAGAUGGAAUUCCGGGUGUAGCGGUGGAAUGCGUAGAGAUCCGGAAGAACACCGGUGGCGAAGGCGGGUCUCUGGGCAGUAACUGACGCUGAGGCGCGAAAGCUAGGGGAGCGAACGGG
rnacentral:rRNA from 1 species